AGUCUUAUAGUCAAUUAAAUGAUAUUAAAUUGCAAAUUUAAAGGUAAAUUAAAAUUUUAAGGCUU
rnacentral:tRNA from 1 species